rnacentral:rRNA from 1 species
UACGGAGGGUGCAAGCGUUAUCCGGAUUUACUGGGUUUAAAGGGUGCGCAGGCGGAUAUGUAAGUCAGUGGUGAAAUCUCUAGGCUUAACCUGGAAAUUGCCGUUGAUACUAUAUAUCUUGAAUGUUGUGGAGGUAAGCAGAAUAUGUCAUGUAGCGGUGGAAUGCUUAGAGAUGACAUAGAAUACCUAUUGCGAAGGCAGCUUACUACGCAGAUAUUGACGCUCAUGCACGAAAGCGUGGGGAUCAAACAGG